CAAGCGUGAAAGGAGGUGAUCCGAUGUCUCAUGGUUCAGUAGCGAGGUCGGUGAAGAUCCCUACGGAGCAUACUCGGUAAUCCUCAGGCCGAGUAAGGCUUCGUGAGCGGCACUUCCGGCCGCUGACCAUGCAAAGGGCAGUUCCAGCCCCCCAUUUUCCGGGGCGCGGAGCUGCCCU
rnacentral:sRNA from 1 species